UACGAAGGGGGCUAGCGUUGCUCGGAAUCACUGGGCGUAAAGCGCACGUAGGCGGCUUUCUAAGUCAGGGGUGAAAUCCUGGAGCUCAACUCCAGAACUGCCUUUGAUACUGGAGAGCUUGAGUCCGGAAGAGGUGAGUGGAACUCCGAGUGUAGAGGUGAAAUGCGCAGAUAUCGGGAGGAACACCAAUGGCGAAGGCAGCUCGCUGGGACGUUACUGACGCUGAGACGCGAAAGCGUGGGGAGCGAACCGG
rnacentral:rRNA from 1 species